rnacentral:tRNA from 1 species
AAAAAAUUAGUUAAAAUUAUAACCUUAAAUUGUCAAUUUAAAAUUAUCUAACAAAUAUUUUUUA